UGGAUCCAGACUUUGAUUAUGGCUCAGGACGAACGCUGGCGGCACGCCUAACACAUGCAAGUCGAACGGAGUUUAGAUGCUUGCAUCUGAACUUAGUGGCGGACGGGUGAGUAACACGUGAGCAACCUGCCUUCCAGAGGGGGAUAACGUUUGGGAACGAACGCUAAUACCGCAUAACAUAUUGAAGUCGCAUGGCUUUAAUAUCAAAGGAGCAAUCCGCUGGGAGAUGGGCUCGCGUCCGAUUAGGCAGUUGGCGGGGUAAUGGCCCACCAAACCGACAAUCGGUAGCCGGACUGAGAGGUUGAACGGCCACAUUGGGACUGAGACACGGCCCAGACUCCUACGGGAGGCAGCAGUGGGGGAUAUUGCACAAUGGGGGAAACCCUGAUGCAGCGAUGCCGCGUGAAUGAAGACGGCCUUCGGGUUGUAAAGUUCUGUCGCAGGGGACGAAACUGACGGUACCCUGCAAGAAAGCUCCGGCUAACUACGUGCCAGCAGCCGCGGUAAUACGUAGGGAGCAAGCGUUGUCCGGAAUUACUGGGUGUAAAGGGAGCGUAGGCGGGGAAACAAGUUGAAUGUGAAAUCCAUGGGCUCAACCCAUGGCUGCGUUCAAAACUGUAUCUCUUGAGUGAAGUAGAGGCAGGCGGAAUUCCUAGUGUAGCGGUGAAAUGCGUAGAUAUUAGGAGGAACACCAGUGGCGAAGGCGGCCUGCUGGGCUUUUACUGACGCUGAGGCUCGAAAGCGUGGGUAGCAAACAGGAUUAGAUACCCUGGUAGUCCACGCGGUAAACGAUGAUUACUAGGUGUGGGUGGACUGACCCCAUCCGUGCCGGAGUCAACACAAUAAGUAAUCCACCUGGGGAGUACGGCCGCAAGGAUGCAACUCAAAUG
rnacentral:rRNA from 1 species